UUAAAUUGAAGAGUUUGAUCAUGGCUCAGAUUGAACGCUGGCGGCAGGCCUAACACAUGCAAGUCGAACGGUAACAGGAAGCAGCUUGCUGCUUCGCUGACGAGUGGCGGACGGGUGAGUAAUGUCUGGGAAACUGCCUGAUGGAGGGGGAUAACUACUGGAAACGGUGGCUAAUACCGCAUAACGUCGCAAGACCAAAGAGGGGGACCUUCGGGCCUCUUGCCAUCAGAUGUGCCCAGAUGGGAUUAGCUAGUUGGUGAGGUAACGGCUCACCAAGGCGACGAUCCCUAGCUGGUCUGAGAGGAUGACCAGCCACACUGGAACUGAGACACGGUCCAGACUCCUACGGGAGGCAGCAGUGGGGAAUAUUGCACAAUGGGCGCAAGCCUGAUGCAGCCAUGCCGCGUGUAUGAAGAAGGCCUUCGGGUUGUAAAGUACUUUCAGCGGGGAGGAAGGUGUUGUGGUUAAUAACCGCAGCAAUUGACGUUACCCGCAGAAGAAGCACCGGCUAACUCCGUGCCAGCAGCCGCGGUAAUACGGAGGGUGCAAGCGUUAAUCGGAAUUACUGGGCGUAAAGCGCACGCAGGCGGUCUGUCAAGUCGGAUGUGAAAUCCCCGGGCUCAACCUGGGAACUGCAUUCGAAACUGGCAGGCUUGAGUCUUGUAGAGGGGGGUAGAAUUCCAGGUGUAGCGGUGAAAUGCGUAGAGAUCUGGAGGAAUACCGGUGGCGAAGGCGGCCCCCUGGACAAAGACUGACGCUCAGGUGCGAAAGCGUGGGGAGCAAACAGGAUUAGAUACCCUGGUAGUCCACGCCGUAAACGAUGUCUACUUGGAGGUUGUGCCCUUGAGGCGUGGCUUCCGGAGCUAACGCGUUAAGUAGACCGCCUGGGGAGUACGGCCGCAAGGUUAAAACUCAAAUGAAUUGACGGGGGCCCGCACAAGCGGUGGAGCAUGUGGUUUAAUUCGAUGCAACGCGAAGAACCUUACCUGGUCUUGACAUCCACAGAACUUUCCAGAGAUGGAUUGGUGCCUUCGGGAACUGUGAGACAGGUGCUGCAUGGCUGUCGUCAGCUCGUGUUGUGAAAUGUUGGGUUAAGUCCCGCAACGAGCGCAACCCUUAUCCUUUGUUGCCAGCGGUUAGGCCGGGAACUCAAAGGAGACUGCCAGUGAUAAACUGGAGGAAGGUGGGGAUGACGUCAAGUCAUCAUGGCCCUUACGACCAGGGCUACACACGUGCUACAAUGGCGCAUACAAAGAGAAGCGACCUCGCGAGAGCAAGCGGACCUCAUAAAGUGCGUCGUAGUCCGGAUUGGAGUCUGCAACUCGACUCCAUGAAGUCGGAAUCGCUAGUAAUCGUGGAUCAGAAUGCCACGGUGAAUACGUUCCCGGGCCUUGUACACACCGCCCGUCACACCAUGGGAGUGGGUUGCAAAAGAAGUAGGUAGCUUAACCUUCGGGAGGGCGCUUACCACUUUGUGAUUCAUGACUGGGGUGAAGUCGUAACAAGGUAACCGUAGGGGAACCUGCGGUUGGAUCACCUCCUUACCU
rnacentral:rRNA from 1 species